GUCAGGAUGGCCGAGUGGUCUAAGGCGCCAGACUCAAGUUCUGGUCUCCAUAUGGAGGCGUGGGUUCUAAUCCCACUUCUGACA
rnacentral:tRNA from 1 species